AUAAAGUGAAACAGAUGACUGUGCAUUCUAAUGACAUUUGUCAUUCUUAUUUCAAAUGCACGAUUAAAAUGACGUAAUGCCAAUUCUGUUUCUAUGGCAAGGAUCGCGAGGGCAGAACCUGAGCUUGCUAUUUUUGACGUCUCUAAAUUAAAUUCAAAAUUGUCAGAAGCUUUACAAUGAUUUAUAUGGCUUCUGCUAUAAAAUAAAGUGUUGUAUUAUACACAACGAUAAAGGGACACUAACCAUCUCUCAUCAAUGGUUAAAAUAUCGCUUUAUCGUCUAGCUACAAGAAAUGUAAGUAGCGUAUUUAGCUUCGAGCCGAGGAAUAUUAUUCUUCCAAGAAGGUUAAUAGCAACUACAUUCCGGGUUGCUUAUUACAUUUUUCGCGCUAAUGUUUAAGGGAAUCGCGGGAGAUGAAUUAUUGUGCAAAUGUCAAAUGUGACAGAUAAGUAAUUAUUUUCCUCGGUAUGUAAGUAAUAAGAAUGUAAAGUCUGCUGUCAGUAGCAACCAGUACUCUAAAUGUAAUUGGAGCCUUACACAGAGCCGCCGUUAGCCUCAACGGGCCUCGGGAAUAUUAUUUGACCGGGCCUCUAUAAUUGAAAUCUUGACCCAUAGUCGAUCUCAAACGGUUUUUUACCUAGCGAGCCUUCUGCCACUGUGACGUAAUUAGUAAAUUUUGCUCAAUGGUAUGGUUUUUUAAAUCUUCUGCUGUGCAUUUUUUUAUAUUCUACUCUCUCAUAUAGAGGUAUGCAUAUGCAAAUUUCUUACAAUUAAAAAUCAAUUCAAAAUCUCUUUUGGCCGGGCCCCCAGAAUACUAUCGGGCCCCGGGGUAAAUGCCCCGGCUUACCCCCCUUAUCGGCGGCCCUGGCCUUACAUUUGACGUUGUCAUGUAUUAACUUACUCUUACAGAGACGAAAGCGCGAAAUUCGGUUGUGGCUUAUUUCAUUUAUAUCUUUCCAAUGAGCACAAGAUAUUUAACAUCAGACAAGGGGUUACUGAGAUAGAUACGACCCGAAUUGUGAUCGGUCCUGUACACAGGGUGGUUCAAAUUUGUCGCUCACAAUUGGGAUGGUCGUAACCGUGAGAGAUAGAGUGUAGCCAUUUAACAUUUUUGAAUAUUGUUUGAAAGUAACUGAGAUAUCACCGAAAAACUGAAAAUGUCAAAUUUUAUUUUCAAACUAAUAUUUUAGAAUUUUAACCACGUUAACCCAUUAUUAGCAGGUGUUUGUUUCCUAUGGUAAAUUAAAACAAGUAUUCAGGAUGUCGAUAUUAAGUUGAUAAGCGACCUUUAUGCCGACCUGAGAAAUUUCAAUUAGCAAUAGGUGUUAAUUGGACUACCGAUUUUAGAAAUUUCAAUCCGGCCAAUUAAGUAAGUGAAAUUAAUAGUAUCUAAAAAAAUGUGAGCGAGCGCUCUUAAUUAAUUUGAAUUUUAAGAUCAAUUACAGAUUUUUAGGACGUCAGCAGGUCGCACAAUUAUUUAAAGAAGUUGCAAUUUUUGGAUGUAGAUGACCGAACACACUGCGUCGGUUGGCAAACCAUCGUUCUCUCCACGGCAUAGCAGAAUUUUAUAAAAGCAUUCACCAGUAGCCGGCCGCCGCUUUCUCUUAAGAAUUCCUGGAGUUACCAUUUACUCCGUUUGAGUUUUCCCGAGGCUUCCGAGAUCGAUCCGCAAACGGCACUGACCUUGACCAGGGGCAAGGCCGUACUCUUGGUAACGCUUAAGUCCGUCCGUCCGUCUGCCCGUCCGUCCUUUCCGCCGCCGACAGUCACUAUAAUUUGUAAUUUUUUUUUUUGUAAACUAAAUUAUAAUCAUUA